rnacentral:piRNA from 1 species
UCCUGGAAAUUUAGUGAACACAGUCCUAGGA